rnacentral:rRNA from 1 species
AUGAUGUUUGAGCAUGUACUUUUUUUGAGUGUCUAUUUAUUUUCGAUUGGUAUCUAUGGAUUGAUCACAAGCCGAAACAUGGUUAGAGCUCUAAUAUGUCUUGAACUUAUACUGAAUUCAAUUAAUCUAAAUCUGGUAACAUUUUCUGAUCUAUUUGAUAGUCGCCAAUUAAAAGGAGAUAUUUUCGCAAUUUUUGUUAUAGCCCUUGCGGCUGCUGAAGCCGCUAUUGGACUAUCCAUUCUUUCUUCCAUCCAUCGUAAUAGGAAAUCCACUCGUAUCAAUCAAUCUAAUUUAUUGAAUAAUUAG